UUAUAUGGUCAAGAAGAGAAGCGCAAACGGUGGAUGCCUUGGCAGUAAGAGGCGAAGAAGGACGUGGAAUCCUGCGAAAAGCUAUGGGGAGCUGGAAACGAGCGUUGAGCCAUAGAUGUCCGAAUGGGGGAACCCGGCUGCAGCGAUGCGGUCAUUUGCAUUUGAAUACAUAGGAUGCAAAGGCGAACUCGGGGAACUGAAACAUCUAAGUACCCGAAGGAAAAGAAAUCAAGAGAGAUUCUCCAAGUAGCGGCGAGCGAACGGGGAGGAGCCUGGCGUGAUUUAUUAUUGAACUGAGUAGAACAAUUUGGGAAAGUUGGCGAUAGAGGGUGAAAGCCCCGUAUACGAAGGUUUGAUGAGGAACUAGGCACGCGAACAAGUAGGCCGGGACACGUGAAAUCCUGGUUGAAGAUGGGUGGACCAUCAUCCAAGGCUAAAUACUACUUACUGACCGAUAGUGAACCAGUACCGUGAGGGAAAGGUGAAAAGAACCCCGGAGAGGGGAGUGAAAUAGAAUCUGAAACCGUUUGCGUACAAGCAGUGGGAGCAUGGUUUAGGCUGUGUGACUGCGUACCUUUUGUAUAAUGGGUCAGCGAGUUACUUUCAGUGGCGAGGUUAACUGAAUAAGGGAGCCGUAGAGAAAUCGAGUCUGAAUAGGGCGAUAGUCGCUGGGAGUAGACCCGAAACCGGGCGAUCUAGCCAUGU
rnacentral:rRNA from 1 species